ACACUCAUGUCUCCUACCUGCACUGGUUGAUGGAUCUCGAACCACUAAUUUGAACCUUACUUCUUUUGAAUGGAUGAGUAUUUGUGAAUUCCCUGGUACCAAUCUUUUGAAAAGGUGGAGCUCAUUAUGUGCUAUUCUUGUCAUGUAUGAUCUGGACAGGUAAAGGUUAUCAGCUAGGUGGUUUUGUAUAUCCAAAAUUUUCACAUGAGCUAGGUGGUUAAGGGAGUUGUUUGAGGAUUUAUUUGGAAGACUGCUUCAUUCUAUCAUUUCUUUGUGCUUAUCAGUUUGAUAUCCUUACUUAUUCGAGUUUGAUUCCAACUAUGCUGAUGUAGUUAAUUAUGUACAUAUUAGUGUAAUUCAUGUACUUGCUCUUGCCUGAUUCCCCUUUGUAUAAAUGUGUCUAUCUAUUAAUGAAUAUCUCUCUGAUAUCAACGAAUGACAUACAUUCAAACAGUUAGCUAGAUCUUGCCACUUUACUAUCAAAGGCAACUAACUGAAAAUUUGUAUCUUCACGUUGCAAGAUAAGGGCCUCUGUUGACAGCAUUUCCCUCCCAAAACUGAAGUCCUAUUCAAAUCGGUGCCAAGGUUAAUCUCGAGUCAAGGGAAGCCCCUGAAUUGAUUAAAUAGAAUACUGAAAAAAAUAAGAAGUUACCCUUUUAGAAUUUCAACCAUUAUAUCACUGCAUCAUGAUGUUUUGCAAAACACGGUCUAUGGGACCGUAGGAUUUAUAUUCAGCCAUCCAUCUUUGUGUCCUUCAAAUUCUCAACGAUACAUGGACAUUCUAAGUACAAGCAACAUACAACAGUCCAGUGCCUUGACUAGCCGCCGGCACUCAUCGCCACCUUUUUACGUGUGUGGCAGCCUUUCCUCGGUUGCUGGCACCCAACUGUAUUCCUCUUCCCCGCCUUUAGAUCUUUAGCUACUCUGUUUAGUUAACAACUUAAUGUAUGUUUCGACAGGAUUGGGUUGAUUUCGAUGUCAUGCGGUUCACUAAGUUAAGAAACUU